GCUGUCACCCCCUCUCUCUAAGAAACCCUAGUCGCCUCCCCUUUACUUGCCAUAUUUGGAAGCCAACAAACCCUAGUGCCUAGAGUUUCUUAGCUGCCUCUAAUUUCUAGCACCUCCAAGCCUUGCUACCUCCUUUUGGAGGUAUUUGCUACUAGUUUUCAGAUCUCCAUACCCCAAGAUAGUUAGUUUUCCAAUAAUUGGUAUUAGGGUUUAGUUGGGCAUGGAAGAGGAAAGGAGGAGUUCGAUCUUGAAGAACUAGAU
rnacentral:lncRNA from 1 species